CACAGCUGCACCCAUUGGGGAUGAGGCUCCACCACAGCCCCACUCCCAAUUAACACAAACUGUGUGCCUACACUUCUUAUCCAAGGUGGCUCCUGCUGAGUCCCUUCUGAAGGACAGUGCCACCUCUCCCAAAGAAGUAUGAAAAUCUUCAAGAGGAAGCCGACAAGCAGAAAUAUCACCUGCAAAUCCCUGACAUGCUGAGAGAAACUCUUGGGACUGUGUGCAGCAUGUUUUACCAGCGAAGAACUAGAAGUCCUCUACUACAGCCCUGAACUCAGACACAGCAUUAUAUGCAAGAUAGUUGAACACCAAAAGGGAAGGAAGAGUGCUGGAGGAGCAACAAGGCUGAGCACAUGAUAUACAACACCACAACUUAGAUUCAAACCAUUCAUUUGCAAGCUAAAAAUGCUUCCUUCAGCACAAAAUAUUUACCCCUAGUUAAUUCUUUGCAUAACCUUUAACAGCUUGUUUGUAACAAUCUCUGCAGCUGAAGUGCACAGCCACCUGAUUAGGAAAAUCCACAUUCAUUCCUCUUCAUCACAAGUCUCAGCAUCACCUGUCUUGCUCCUGCUCUUCCUAUCUUCAUUCAAAAGGUCAAGAGGACUCCGUGGAAGGGGUCCUAUACAUCUUUGGGGCAUUCACAUUUUGUGAUUCUCUCCUGUCCUUACAGGAUUUAUUUUCCACUCUGCUGUAGCUGGCUGUUACCAUACAGACCUAAAGCACAAUUUGUUGUAUGACUCAGGGUUUCAAGCCUAUAUAAAGCAAAAAGCUAGACAGAAACUUGUUUUCCAUAAUGGCAAGAAAGGACACUAGGACAGCAUUAUGCAGCAUUCAGAAUACAUAUGGCCUUUUGCUUUAACUUGACACAGGCCAGACUUCUGCUUUUUCAGAAAGAUUGAUGGAGAUAAGCCUCAGGGCUAGAAAGACUCUGUUCUAAUGAGCAAAAAGUUCACAGCAGUUUAAAUGAAAGCAUAGUCCAACUAGUUUACAUUAGCUUUUUUAUGUUAACAAGCUUUCAAUGCACAGAGGUAACAUUAUCUGAGGUAUCUGAAACCCUGUCAAUAAUUAAUGCAAAAGCUAUUAAACAGUUCCUCUGUUGUG